rnacentral:rRNA from 1 species
GACGGGGGGGGGCAAGUGUUCUUCGGAAUGACUGGGCGUAAAGGGCACGUAGGCGGUGUGUCGCGUCGGCCGUGAAAACCUGCAGCUUAACUGUGGGCUUGCGGUCGAUACGGGCAUCACUGGAGUUCGGCAGGGGAGACUGGAAUUCCUGGUGUAGCGGUGAAAUGCGCAGAUAUCAGGAGGAACACCGGUGGCGAAGGCGGGUCUCUGGGC